UAUUUAACGGCCGCGGUAUCCUAACCGUGCAAAGGUAGCAUAAUCACUUGUCCUCUAAAUAAGGACUAGAAUGAACGGCUAAAUGAGGACUAAACUGUCUCUUGCAGAAGGCCAAUGAAACUGAUCUUUCAGUCCAAAAGCUGGAAUAUUAUCAUAAGACGAGAAGACCCUGUGGAGCUUAAAACCUUGACCACCAAACAUGUACAUCCUUGGUUUUUAGUUGGGGCGACUUCGGAGCAAAAGACAACCUCCGAUAAAACAUAUCAAGAUCUACACAUCAAAAUAAUCAUUUGACCCAGUAGUUUAACAAAACUAUCUGAUCAAUGAACCAAGUUACCCCAGGGAUAACAGCGCUAUCCCCUUCUAGAGUCCAUAUCGACAAGGGGGCUUACGACCUCGAUGUUGGAUCAGGAAAUCCUAAUAGUGCAGCUGCUAUUAAGGGCUCGUUUGUUCAACGAUUAAUAUCCUACGUGAUCUGA
rnacentral:rRNA from 1 species